CGAAGCCCCAGUGAACGGCGGCCGUAACUAUAACGGUCCUAAGGUAGCGAAAUUCCUUGUCAGGUAAGUUCUGACCCGCAUGAAAGGCGUAAUGAUUUGGGCACUGUCUCAACAGCCCGCCCGGCGAAAUUGUAGUACCGGUGAAGAUGCCGGUUACCCGCGACAAGACGGAAAGACCCCAUGGAGCUUUACUGUAGCCUAAUAUUGGGUUUCGAUGUUGCAUGCACAGGAUAGAUGGGACACAGGGAAACAGGAGCUUUGGCUUCUGCGGAGUGGCCGUUGGGAUACCAUCCUUGCGAUAUUGGAAUUCUAACCUGCGGCUCUGAAUCGAGUCGGGGGACAUUGUUAGGUGGGCAGUUUGACUGGGGCGGUCGCCUCCUAAAAAGUAACGGAGGCGUUCAAAGGUUCGCUCAGCUUGAACGGAAAUCAAGCAAAAGAGUGCAAACGCAGAAGCGAGCCUAACUGCGAGACUGACGGGUCGAGCAGUAACGAAAGUUGGAGUUAGUGAUCCGGUGGUAUGUGAGUGGAAAUGCCAUCGCUCAACGGAUAAAAGUUACCCUGGGGAUAACAGGCUGAUCUCCCCCAAGAGUCCACAUCGACGGGGAGGUUUGGCACCUCGAUGUCGGCUCAUCGCAUCCUGGAGCUGUAGUCGGUCCCAAGGGUUGGGCUGUUCGCCCAUUAAAGCGGUACGCGAGCUGGGUUCAGAACGUCGUGAGACAGUUCGGUCCCUAUCUGUCGUGGGCGCAGGAUAUUUGAUGGGAGCUGUCCCUAGUACGAGAGGACCGGGACGGACGUACCUCUGGCGCACCAGUUGUUCCGCCAGGAGCAUAGCUGGGCAACUACGUACGGAUCGGAUAAACGCUGAAAGCAUCUAAGCGUGAAGCCGACCCAAAGAUAAGAUAUCCCAUUGUUUUAAACAAGUAAGACCCCUUGAAGACUACAAGGUUGAUAGGCACGAUGUGUAAGUGGAGCGAUCCAUUCAGCAAGCGUGUACUAAUAGGUCGAGGGCUUGACCAC
rnacentral:rRNA from 1 species